GACGAACGCUGGCGGCGUGCUUAACACAUGCAAGUCGAACGGAAAGGCCCUGCUUUUGUGGGGUGCUCGAGUGGCGAACGGGUGAGUAACACGUGAGUAACCUGCCCUUGACUUUGGGAUAACUUCAGGAAACUGGGGCUAAUACCGGAUAGGAGCUCCUGCUGCAUGGUGGGGGUUGGAAAGUUUCGGCGGUUGGGGAUGGACUCGCGGCUUAUCAGCUAGUUGGGGGGGUAGUGGCUUCCCACGGCUUUGACGGAUAGCCGGCCUGGGAGGGUGACCGGCCACCUUGGGACUGAGGUACGGCCCAGACUCCUACGGGAGGCAGCAGUGGAGAAUAUUGCACAAUGGGCGGAAGCCUGAUGCAGCAACGCCGGGUGCGGGAUGACGGCCUACGAGUUGUAAACCGAUUUCGCAUGUGACGAAGAGUGAGUGACGGUAAUGGGUAAAGAAGCACCGGCUAACUACGUG
rnacentral:rRNA from 1 species